UUUGAGAGACCAUCCUCUUAGAAAUGCAAGAGAAAGCUCAUAUUAUAAAAUAGCUCUCUGGAUGCAAUUCCUAUGGCUUCCAAAGGGUGUCAGCAGUCUAUGUUCAAGGUUUCAGGCUUGUAACUUCAAAAACGAAUAAGAAAUAACAGUUUUUGUAUGAGGACACAGUCUUGAAAAUCCGUGUCAAUGCGCACCAUGAUGAAGUUGCGCACCUGCUAAAAUCGGUUUCCUAUUGAACAUACUUCUUUCCUUAUGAAAUAUUAUAGUUUGAUUACAUUUUAGGGUGUCUGAGGAGUAAACACAAAUGUAUUUGUACUUGUUGAAACAAAGUUUAUGGGUAGAUUUUCAGAUUCCUUUCUCUGCAAAUUGAACGAGUGGAUUACUCAAAUCGAUGGCACCAACUAAACAGACUUUUUGGGAUAUAAAAAAUGAUCUUAUCUAACAAAACAACACUACAUGUUAUCACUGGGACCCUUUGGAUGACAAAUCAGAGGAAGAUUUUCAAAAAGGAGAGACACAUGCCUUCCCAAGGGAUAGCAAUGCAUUUUGCCUGAUAUGGACCAUAAGUGGGUGUCCAAGGCAUUGUUCAGGUGGUCCGGGAAUGGGAUUCCAGAGAUGGACUUUGCCAUGGUUGACAAAAUGUGGUGGGACAGCCCUCCGCCACCAUAUUCAGCUCAGUAGAGAUGGAGAGGUACUUUGCCCAUCCUCUGCUGCUCUGGAUGCCCAGGAAGCUCUUGCAGGGGAGCUGAUAGGUUUGGAGUACCUCUUCGAUCAGACUGGUUUGGUGCUGCAGGAUUAUAAGGCUUGUCACGACUUCUACCGAAGUCGGUUCCUCUCCUUGUUCAGGCGGUGUUCGGCGGUCGACGUCACCGGUCUUCUAGCCAUCGCCGAUCCAUUUUUCAUGUUCCAUUUGUUUUGUCUUGUUUUCACACACACCUGGUUUCAAUUCCCUAAUUACAUGUUGUAUAUUUUCCCUCUGUUUCCCCCCAUGUCCUUGUCGGGAAUUGUUUAUUUUGUAAGUACUCGUACUAUGUGUUACUGGUGCGCUACAGGUUUUGUACCCAUGUGUUUGUUGUUUUGUAUGCUGUUAGUCCUACUCCCACCCCCUCUACCCGCAUCCAGUCCACAGCUGCAUCACUCAGUCCCCUGUCCUCCACUCCUGUACGGGCUACUCCAGGACCUGGGCCUCUAUCCUCCACACCUGUGCUUGUCAGUCCCCUGUCCUCCACUCCUGUACGGGCUACUCCAGGACCUGGGCCUCUAUCCUCCACACCUGUGCUUGUCAGUCCCCUGUCCUCCACUCCUGUACGGGCUACUCCAGGACCUGGGCCUCUAUCCUCCACACCUGUGCUUGUCAGUCCCCUGUCCUCCACUCCUGUACGGGCUAACGUUACUCCUUAGUCUAUGGACCAUAAAUUAUAUUUUAAAGUGUGAAUUGGCUCUGGCAGUCAAAACAGCCAAAUACUCCAUCUAAAGUAUUGGGAUAGUGAAAUGGUUUGUUGUUUCGGCUCUGUACUCCAGCACUUUGGAUUUGCAAUGAUACAAAGUGCAGACUGUCAGCUUUAAUUUGAGGGUAUUUUCAUCCAUAUUACAGCACUUUUUAUUACAGCACUUUUUGUACAUAGUCCCCCCCAUUUAAGACGAACCAAAAGUAUUGGGAUAAAUUCACUUAUGUGUAUUAAAGUAGUCAAAAGUUUAGUAAUUGGUCCCAUAUUCCUAGCACGCAAUGAUUACAUCAAGCUUGUGAGUCUACAAACAUUUGGUCUUUAUUUUGGUUGUGUUUCAGAUUAUAUUGUGCCCAAUAGAAAUGACUGAUAAAUAAUGUAUUGUGUCAUUUUGGAGUCACUUAUUGUAAAUAAGAAUAGAAUACUUUUCUAAACACUUCUACAUUAAUGUGGAUGCUACCAGGAUUACGGAUAGUCCUGGUGAAUUGUGAAUAAUGAUGAAUGAGAAAGUUACAGACGCACAAAUAUCAUACCCCCAAGACAUGUUGCAUGACAAGGGCUAUGUUGAGGUAGCUUGCAAGUAAACAUUUCAUUGCACUGUUUACACCCCCCUGUAUUCUGUAUAUAUGAUGAAUAAAAUUGGAUUUGAUGAA